ACGAACGCUGGCGGCGUGCCUAAUACAUGCAAGUCGCACGCUUCUUUCCUCCCGAGUGCUUGCACUCAAUUGGAAAGAGGAGUGGCGGACGGGUGAGUAACACGUGGGUAACCUACCCAUCAGAGGGGGAUAACACUUGGAAACAGGUGCUAAUACCGCAUAACAGUUUAUGCCGCAUGGCAUAAGAGUGAAAGGCGCUUUCGGGUGUCGUUGAUAGAUGGACCCGCGGUGCAUUAGCUAGUUGGUGAGGUAACGGCUCACCAAGGCCACGAUGCAUAGCCGACCUGAGAGGGUGAUCGGCCACACUGGGACUGAGACACGGCCCAGACUCCUACGGGAGGCAGCAGUAGGGAAUCUUCGGCAAUGGACGAAAGUCUGACCGAGCAACGCCGCGUGAGUGAAGAAGGUUUUCGGAUCGUAAAACUCUGUUGUUAGAGAAGAACAAGGACGUUAGUAACUGAACGUCCCCUGACGGUAUCUAACCAGAAAGCCACGGCUAACUACGUG
rnacentral:rRNA from 1 species